rnacentral:rRNA from 1 species
CCUACGGGGGGCAGCAGUGGGGAAUAUUGCGCAAUGGGGGCAACCCUGACGCAGCAACGCCGCGUGAUUGAAGAAGGCCUUCUGGUUGUAAAGAUCUUUAAUCGGGGACGAAUUUUGACGGUACCCGAAGAAUAAGCUCCGGCUGACUACGUGCCAGCAGCCGCGGUAAUACGGAGGAUGCAAGCGUUAUCCGGAUUUAUCGGGUUUAAAGGGUGCGUAGGCGGAAUGUCAAGUCAGCGGUAAAAUUUCGGGGCUCAACCCCGUCGUGCCGUUGAAACCGGCGUUCUUGAGUGAGCGAGAAGUAUGCGGAAUGCGUGGUGUAGCGGUGAAAUGCAUAGAUAUCACGCAGAACUCCGAUUGCGAAGGCAGCAUACCGGCGCUCAACUGACGCUCAUGCACGAAAGUGUGGGUAUCAAACAGGAGUAGAUACCCUUGUAGUC